rnacentral:rRNA from 1 species
UGAGAGGAUGAUCAGCCACACUGGGACUGAGACACGGCCCAGACUCCUACGGGAGGCAGCAGUGGGGAAUAUUGGACAAUGGGCGAAAGCCUGAUCCAGCCAUGCCGCGUGAGUGAAGAAGGCCUUCGGGUUGUAAACCCCUUUCAGUGGGAACGAAAUUGACGGUACCCACAGAAGAAGCCCCGGCCAACUACGUGCCAGCAGCCGCGGUGAUACGUAGGGGGCGAGCGUUGUCCGGAUUUAUUGGGCGUAAAGAGCUCGUAGGCGGCUUGGUAAGUCGGGUGUGAAACCUCCAGGCUCAACCUGGAGACGCCACUCGAUACUGCCCUGGCUAGAGUCCGGUAGGGGAUCACGGAAUUCCUGGUGUAGCGGUGAAAUGCGCAGAUAUCAGGAGGAACACCAGUGGCGAAGGCGGUGAUCUGGGCCGGUACUGACGCUGAGGAGCGAAAGCGUGGGGAGCGAACAGGAUUAGAUACCCUGGUAGUCCACGCCGUAAACGUUGGGCACUAGGUGUGGGGCCUUAUCGACGGGUUCCGUGCCGCAGCUAACGCAUUAAGUGCCCCGCCUGGGGAGUACGGCCGCAAGGCUAAA